AGACAGCAGCAGCCGCGGGAAUACAGAGGGUGCAAGCGUUAAUCGGAUUUACUGGGCGUAAAGCGUGCGUAGGCGGCUUUUUAAGUCGGAUGUGAAAUCCCUGAGCUUAACUUAGGAAUUGCAUUCGAUACUGGGAAGCUAGAGUAUGGGAGAGGAUGGUAGAAUUCCAGGUGUAGCGGUGAAAUGCGUAGAGAUCUGGAGGAAUACCGAUGGCGAAGGCAGCCAUCUGGCCUAAUACUGACGCUGAGGUACGAAAGCAUGGGGAGCAAACAGGAUUAGAUACCCCCGUAGUCCCUGUCUCUUAUAC
rnacentral:rRNA from 1 species